rnacentral:rRNA from 1 species
AAACCAGCACCUCAAGUGGUCAGGAUGAUUAUUGGGCCUAAAGCAUCCGUAGCCGGCUCUGUAAGUUUUCGGUUAAAUCUGUACGCUUAACGUACAGGCUGCCGGGAAUACUGCAGAGCUAGGGAGUGGGAGAGGUAGACGGUACUCGGUAGGAAGGGGUAAAAUCCUUUGAUCUAUUGAUGACCACCUGUGGCGAAGGCGGUCUACUAGAACACGUUCGACGGUGAGGGAUGAAAGCUAGGGGAGCAAACCGGAUUAGAAACCCGGGUAGUCC